rnacentral:lncRNA from 1 species
UAAAGGAUAGAGUGUACCUUCCUUGAGUUGGAGCUCUAAUGGGGUGAAAUGACUUAUUUACCCUCCAAAAAUAAAGAAAAGGUCAAGGCACCAAUUUAAUUGAGAAAAUCAACAAAAGUAUGCAAACACAAGCUCAUUUGGUCAGAAAAGCCCUUAAAAUUAUGAGUUAAAUGCAAUUCAAACAAAGGAUUAUGGCUAAUCGAAGUAAACAAACAAUGGAGUUGCCAAAUUAGGGCGGUUAAGGACCCAAUUGUAAAUAUUAGAAAGUUUUUAGGGCCUGAUCAGGAUUUUCCAGGACUUUGGGGCUAAAUUAUAAUUUUUGAAUGUUAUCAUCUUCUUCACCGAGAAACUGAAACCAUCAUCAGUUAGCAUUUCCGUUGUUGUUGAUCAACAAUACCAGAGAUUUGUUUCAAUUCCAAACCCACGAAAUCCACCCAGAACAUACAAAAACAAAAUUCAUCUCCUAUCGCUGAUUCGGAUUGAGCAAGAAACAGAGAAACAAAACAAAACAUCAAUUCAUCAAGAUUUCUCAAAUGCAAGGAAGUAAGCUCACAGACUUAUCUGUUUUCUCACAAAAAUGCAGAUGAAUCAUUUUCCAUGAAGAAUUUUCAAUCCGGCAUUUCAUCGAACAUUAAAUAGACAUUAAAAUUUCACUGCCCUCUUUGCUAAAUUGAGUUUAUAAUCUGCCCCAAAAUUAUCAAAAACCAGAGAUUUCAAUCCAGUCAACACAGAGAGCGCGUAUGUACCAAAAUCCAUGGACAAUCAGCAUAAAAAUUGAAAUAACAACUUCAGGGAAAACAUGCUUUGACAGAAAACUGAAGUGUAAAGGAAAAGGUUACCUUCCAUUGGCUUCUCACGGUGACAAUUGGCGGGCAGCAGUAGCGGAUUCCGACGAAUUUGGUGACAAUUCUGAUUCUUCCCAUAGCUAAUUUCCUUCUUUUCAUUGCUUGCUUCACUCUCAAUCAGCCCGAGGUUUCCAUUGCUUUUCCUUUGUUUGAUUUCUUGCUUUUCCUAAAUUUCUCUAAGCUGUCCGAGGCCCUCUCCCAAUUUUCAGAUUUUCCUUUUCUUUCUCUGUUUUCUUUCGACCCUCCAUCCGCCGCCCCUGUUUUCUUUUCCUUGCUCCACCUCUCCUUUCUCCGUUUUUACUUCAGCCUUUCGCUCUCUUUUCCUUUUUUUUUUUUUAAUUUUUCCAGAUUUUCCCUACUCUUGCUCUCUCUCGUCUGACCCCGAAGUUCGCCCCUUCCAAAUUCCAGAUUUCCCCGUUGCCUUUCUUUCCUCUGUUUUUCCUCCAACCCAGAUGAAGCCUCCUCUAUUUUCCUUUUUUUUCUCGGCUCUUUCUAUCUUAAAACCUAGCCGUCACCCCCUUGCUUUCUUCUGCCCCCCCGUCGCUCUUCAGAUUUUUUUUUUCGAUUCCUCUAGCCGCCACUCCCUCUGGUUUUUCUUGGCCAAAAGCCUCCGCCCACAUAUCCCUUU